GAUUAUGUUGGUUAACAGAUCCUCAUCUGCUGGACGUCUGGCGAUGAUCUUUAUCGGUUGUCGUCAGUUGCCAGCACGUUUACUUUGAGAAAAUUAGAGUGCUAAAAGCAGGCUCACGCCUAUAUAUAUUGCAUGGAAUAAUGAAAUAAGAUCUCGAUUUUAUUUCGUUGGUUUUAGAAAUUGAGAUAAUGAUUAAUAGGAUCAGAGGGGGGCGUACGUACUGUGGUGUGAGAGGUGAAAUUCUUGGAUCGCCACAGGACGAACAGCAGCGAAGGCGUUCGCCAAGAAUGUUUUCAUUAAUCAAGAACGAAAGUUUGAGGUUCGAAGACGAUUAGAUACCGUCCUAGUUCAAACCAUAAACGUUGCCAACUGUCUUUUAGAUGCGGUUAUUUAUAUGACUCAUCUGGCGGAUCUCGAGAAAUCUAAGUUUUUAGGUUCCGGGGGAAGUAUGGUUGCAAAGCUGAAACUUAAAAGAAUUGACGGAAGGACACACAAGAAGUGGAGCCUGUGGCCUAAUUUGACUCAACACGGGAAACCUUACUCGGCCAGGACACUUUUAGGAUUGACAGAUUGAGAGCUCUUUCUUGAUUAGGUGGGUGGUGGUGCAUGGUCGUUCGUAGUUCGUGGAGCGAUUUGUCUGAUUAAUUUCGAUAACGAACGAGACUCCGGCUUACUAAAUAGUCUGAAGUUCGAAGGGACUUAUUAAGACUUCUUAGCAGGAUAAGUGG
rnacentral:rRNA from 1 species